GUUGCCAGCCCGCUCAGAAACUACAAAGGAAGUUGACGGGGCCCGGCACAAGCGGAGGAGCAUGUGGUUAAUUCGAUGAUACGCGAGGAACUUACCUGGGCUCGAACGUAAGAUGACUGUAGGUGAAAGCUUACAUCUCUUCGGAGCAUUUUACGAGGUGCUGCAUGGUUGUCGUCAGCUCGUGCCGUGAGGUGUCGGGUUAAGUCCCAUAACGAGCGCAACCCCUACCUUUAGUUGCCAUCAGGUUAAGCUGGGGACCUCUAAAGGAACUGCCUACGCAAGUAGUGAGGAAGGCGGGGAUGACGUCAAAUCAGCACGGCCCUUACGUCCAGGGCUACACACGUGCUACAAUGGCCGAUACAGAGGGCAGCUACCUGGUGACAGGAUGCAAAUCUCCAAAGUCGGUCUCAGUUCGGAUCGGAGUCUGCAACCCGACUCCGUGAAGUUGGAUUCGCUAGUAAUCGCGCAUCAGCCAUGGCGCGGUGAAUACGUUCCCGGGCCUU
rnacentral:rRNA from 1 species